GCAAGUCGAAUGGGUUUAGACCCAUGGCAGACGAGGUAGUAACACGUAGGUUUACGUACCCUAAAGUCAAGGAUAACCCGGAGAAAUCCGGAAUAAUACUUGAUAGUCCCUUCGUGGUAAAGUUUUAACGCUUUAGGAACGGCCUGCGGAGUAUCAGCUUGUUGGUAGUGUAAAGGACUACCAAGGCUAUGACGCUUAGUGGAGGUGAGAGCCUGACC
rnacentral:rRNA from 1 species